rnacentral:rRNA from 1 species
AUGUCAGUGCCGAGCGCAGGUCAGGUGGACGCUGGAGCGUGAGAAAUCCUAGGCGUGCUUCGGUUGUGUUCGUUGGUCUCUCGUGCUUGCACGGUGGCCGCGGCGCUCCGUCGUUUCGUCUCUCACCAGCUCCCGUCCGUGACAAGCCUCCUCGCUCGCGUACAUAUGGUUAUCGGUUAAACGGAGUGUGCGUGGCGGUGUCCCUCGUACCCGUUCGUUGGAGGUUGGGUGUGAUCGGUUACUCGCGUCGGCUUUACCGCCGGUGCGAAAGUGCCGGGAUACGCUCAGCACUGGCGUCGGGAUCAUGCGUUGGGCGCUCGUCCGCACGUUGAGCUCCUUCGGUAUCAGAGUCACCUUGAGUAAAUCAGAGUGCUCAAAGCAGUCGUAAGGGCCUUGUGCCCUGUGAACAGUCUUGACGGACUGACUUGGUUUUGCAUGGCAUGUCGGAAUAAGACGUCGCGUGCUGGCUCAGAGAUUAAAUCAGUGGUGGAAGCCAGCACCGACGUACUGAUUAAAAGGAACGGUCGAGGGCAUUGGUAUUGCGAGGCGAGAGGUGAAAUUCUAUGACCCCCGCAAGACCUCCUGAAGCGAAAGCGUCUGCCAAGGACGUUUUCAUUAAUCAUGAACGAAAGUUAGAGGAUCGAAGGCGAUCAGAUACCGCCCUAGUUCUAACCCUAAACGAUGCCAACCAUCAAUCCGCGCGUAGCACCCUUCUUAACGGGCUCGGCGGGCAGCUCCCACUCACGGGAAACCAGAGUCUCUGGGUUCCGGGG